rnacentral:rRNA from 1 species
GAUGAACGCUGGCGGCGUGCCUAAUACAUGCAAGUCGAGCGAACGGACGAGAAGCUUGCUUUUCUGAUGUUAGCGACGGACGGGUGAGUAACACGUGGAUAACCUACCUAUAAGACUGGGAUAACUUCGGGAAACCGGAGCUAAUACCGGAUAAUAUUUUGAACCGCAUGGUUCAAAAGUGAAAGACGGUCUUGCUGUCACUUAUAGAUGGAUCCGCGCUGCAUUAGCUAGUUGGUAAGGUAACGGCUUACCAAGGCAACGAUGCAUAGCCGACCUGAGAGGGUGAUCGGCCACACUGGAACUGAGACACGGUCCAGACUCCUACGGGAGGCAGCAGUAGGUAAUCUUCCGCAAUGGGCGAAAGCCUGACGGAGCAACGCCGCGUGAGUGAUGAAGGUCUUCGGAUCGUAAAACUCUGUUAUUAGGGAAGAACAUAUGUGUAAGUAACUGUGCACAUCUUGACGGUACCUAAUCAGAAAGCCACGGCUAACUACGUG